AUUGAACGCUGGCGGCAUGCUUUACACAUGCAAGUCGAACGGCAGCGCGGGCUUCGGCCUGGCGGCGAGUGGCGAACGGGUGAGUAAUGCAUCGGAACGUGCCCAGUAGUGGGGGAUAGCCCGGCGAAAGCCGGAUUAAUACCGCAUACGACCUGAGGGUGAAAGCGGGGGACCGAAAGGCCUCGCGCUAUUGGAGCGGCCGAUGUCGGAUUAGCUAGUUGGUGGGGUAAAGGCUUACCAAGGCGACGAUCCGUAGCUGGUCUGAGAGGACGACCAGCCACACUGGGACUGAGACACGGCCCAGACUCCUACGGGAGGCAGCAGUGGGGAAUUUUGGACAAUGGGGGCAACCCUGAUCCAGCCAUGCCGCGUGCGGGAAGAAGGCCUUCGGGUUGUAAAGCGCUCUUGUUCGGGAAGAAAUCCUCUGGGCUAAUACCCCGGGGGGAUGACGGUACCGGAAGAAUAAGCACCGGCUAACUACGUG
rnacentral:rRNA from 1 species